GAAUAAACAAGCGGCUCAUCUGAAAUGCCUGAGUGUACCCCGCUUUGCGGCGUAUUCGGUGUGAUAAAUCUUCACCGGAGUUGAUCCCUUUAUGGGGUCGCGUCUGUAAUAAUGUGGCUCUAUGCUUCAAACCGUCUUCUAUCGAGACAAAUAUCUGACAAUUUGACCUCAAAUCGGGUGGGACUACCCGCUGAACUUAA
rnacentral:misc_RNA from 1 species